GGGCCCUUAGCUCAGCUGGUAGAGCGCUUCCAUGGCAUGGAAGAGGUCAGCGGUUCGAACCCGCUAGGGUCCACCA
rnacentral:tRNA from 3 species